rnacentral:rRNA from 1 species
GACGAACGCUGGCGGUGUGCUUAACACAUGCAAGUCGAACGGUAAGGCCCUUUCGGGGGUACACGAGUGGCGAACGGGUGAGUAACACGUGAGUAACCUGCCCUCAUCUCUGGGAUAACAGUCGGAAACGGUUGCUAAUACUGGAUAUGAGCUUGCAAGGCAUCUUGUGGGUUGGAAAGAUUUUUUUGGUUGGGGAUGGACUCGCGGCCUAUCAGCUUGUUGGUGAGGUAGUGGCUCACCAAGGCUUCGACGGGUAGCCGGCCUGAGAGGGCGACCGGCCACAUUGGGACUGAGAUACGGCCCAAACUCCUACGGGAGGCAGCAGUGGGGAAUAUUGCACAAUGGACGGGAGUCUGAUGCAGCAACGCCGCGUGCGGGAUGACGGCCUUCGGGUUGUAAACCGCUUUCAAUUGUGACGAAGCUUUUUGUGACGGUAGCAGUAGAAGAAGCACCGGCUAACUACGUG